CAGCCGCCGCGGUAAUACGUAGGGGGCGAGCGUUCCCCGGAAUUACUGGGCGUAAAGGGGGCGUAGGCGGCCCGGCAAGUCAAGUGUGAAAUCCGGCGGCUCAACCGCUGGGCUGCGCUUGAAACUGCCGGGCUUGAGUGCAGCAGAGGGAGACGGAAUUGCCGGUGUAGGGGUGAAAUCCGUAGAUAUCGGCAAGAACGCCGGUGGGGAAGCCGGUCUCCUGGGCUGUUACUGACGCUGAGGCCCGAAAGCUGGGGGAGCGAACCGGAUUAGAUACCCGGGUAGUCCCAGCCGUAAACGAUGCUCACUAGGUGUGGGGGAGAUAAAUCCUCCGUGCUGAAGCUAACGCGCUAAGUGAGCCGCCUGGGGAGUAUGCCCGCAAGGGUGAAACUUAAAGGAAUUGGCGGG
rnacentral:rRNA from 1 species